AGCGUCACCUCGGGGUGCCCACAAGGCUGAGAUGCGAAAGCGGACCCGUUGAACCUGAACCGGAUCAUACCGGCGGAGGGAAGGUGCAUGGAAUUCUC
rnacentral:ncRNA from 2 species